UACUAACUAUGGGGCCAUGUGCAUCACUUUCUUCCUCUAUAAAACGGGGAUGGUAAUACCUUCUUCAUCAGGCUGAUGGGAAAAUUAAAUGAGUUAGUACAUGUACGGCACUCAGAACAGUGCCUGGCACAGAGUAAGAGCUCAGUGUUAGCUAUUAUUGUUAUUGCUACUGGCAUUCACACACACACACACACACACACACACACAAUUAGAAUUGGGACCCAUAUCCAGGAGGCUUCUACUGUAUUCCUAAUGACUUACUGCUUAAAAAAAAUCUAAAAUUAGAACCACCAUCAAUACAAAAAUAUAAACAGGUCUUGGAAAAAGGCGGGUUGGGGGGAGCCACUCAUAGUCAUGUUGGUUGCGUUGGUGAGUUGGUGAGUUUUAGGUGAGGGUACACCUCUGAGCAGCCGUGGAAUCCGGUUCCACGACUGCUCUGUAUUUCCUUCAGAUGAUGCCUCCCCUUCUGCUUCGGUUCUUAAUCAGCGUUUCAUGGGCAGGAUUACGGGCGGGUCCAUGAACCCCCUGAAACUGUACACGGAACUGGGUGGGGCUGCGGCUCUGGGCAUUUUGGGGUUGGGGGAGGGGUUCCACAGCUUUUCUCAGGCUCUAAUAAAUGAUCCUGUAGCGAGUAACUUGCUUUGCAGGGCUAAACUCAGGAGAGAGCGACUGAACAAUUCAUUUCACGGAAGCUACGGCCAUGACCAGGACACCUGGGCUGUUAAUCUCUAUCUCAACACCCGAGAGACCUGGCACCGCGAGAGGCAAGAGCCUGCCGGGCAGUGACCCUCACUGUUGAAAAACUCACCGGCUCCCCAGACCCGACCUGGGUUUGCCGGGUUUAACUUCCCCUCCCUUCCCCCAUCCUUCGUUCUCUUCCAAGAACAAACUCCAAGGAAAUUGGCCACGCUGCGUCUAGGGUUUCGCUCCUGGCCUCGGCUGACACUUAAACCACUUCUCCCAGGGAAGUUAACUAAAAGAACAAUUAAUCCACGCAAAAAUCCAAAACCCACUCCACAGCUCAAGAACUCGCAAAGUUAGAAGACUGAGGCGCCGCUGCUGAGGGUGAGCUCUGCAGGUCACUGAGGCUCACGGGGUACGAAAGGGAAGUAGCCAAGGUCCGGUCAGAGGGUGGGACGCCGACAGCACUCUCCGAGUCUAAGCGCUACCGACGCCGGUGGAGAAGGGCUCGCAGACAGCCAGGCAGUGGGUGAGGCACUAGGGCUUCAACAAUGGCCACGUGAAGUCUGCCCUGUGAAGUCCCUCCGGCAAAAGAAUCAGAUAACCUAAAAUUUGGGAGACAUCACCAAAUUCCCUGGCUCUUGCUGAAUGCAGCUGGGAAGUAAGAACCAACACCUGUCCCUUUGGGAAUGUCUCCAAAAUUUCCAAAAAGGUAAGAAAUAUCUAAAUGUGAGAUUUAGUUGAA